UAUAAUGACCUCCUCCUCCGAAGCCCAAUAAAUUCCCAUAUGCAAAACAGCCCGUAUGCUUAACGAAAUUUUUUUUCCAGAAUGCGUGUCGAUAAAGCCUUCUGUUGACAAGUCCACCUCAUCAACAAUCCUCCCUCUGUUUGAUAGGCAACCAUGAACAAGUGUAUGAUCUCAAGAAGCUGAGAGAAGGAUGAAUAUCUUAAUUUACAAAAUAAGAGCUCUACCUUUCAAGAACAAACUUGCCUACUCUAUACUUUUGGCUCUUUUCAUGUG
rnacentral:misc_RNA from 1 species